AUGUGCAGAUACGUCGUAUCAGGCUCCUGUUUCCAGAAUUACAGUCUCAAAGCUGUCAGGACUGUUUAAGAGCAGGGAUGAUCGGGAGAUUGUUCGGCAUAUGAAACACCAUUUUCUGAACAUUUAAGCAGAUGAGGAAACUGGCAUUUGAAUUCAGUCUCUUAUCCAUGGACAAUACAGCUAGGAAGUUUAGAUCUCACCACCUUGAAAAUCUGUGAGAGUUGGGAGGGAACUAGCUACUGGAUGGCUCAGGUCUCCUCUCCUACAGCCAGAGUCAGAAGAAGGAUCAGCACAGGAUGUCUAUGGAUCUCCACCAGAGUCUCCUCAGGCUUCAUUCAGCCCAGGCAAGUUUACCGUCACUCCAGUCUUAACAAAUGUGUUCAUGUUCCCAGAAUUCCCUUAGCUGACUGGAGAGGCCUCGGGAUCCCAGCCCAGCGACCUUCACUCAUUGAGCCAAAGGCUAUAUAGGCAGCUCAAGGCUCGCUGGCAUCGCCCUGAAGCUGGCCUUGGCAGAGUGCUGACUUACAGGCAUUCAGAUAAUUCCAUGAUAGUAGCUUGGCCCUUUUGGCUUCUUGGCCAAGCAUAUGCACCAAAUGCCUCAACUAACAACUUCCUUUCCUGCUGGCAGGGUUACCAUGGCAACAACA